rnacentral:rRNA from 1 species
AUGAACGCUGGCGGCGUGCCUAAUCCCUGCCAGUCGAGCGAACAGACGAGGAGCUUGCUCCUCUGACGUUAGCGGCGGACGGGUGAGUAACACGUGGAUAACCUACCUAUAAGACUGGGAUAACUUCGGGAAACCGGAGCUAAUACCGGAUAAUAUAUUGAACCGCAUGGUUCAAUAGUGAAAGACGGUUUUGCUGUCACUUAUAGAUGGAUCCGCGCCGCAUUAGCUAGUUGGUAAGGUAACGGCUUACCAAGGCGACGAUGCGUAGCCGACCUGAGAGGGUGAUCGGCCACACUGGAACUGAGACACGGUCCAGACUCCUACGGGAGGCAGCAGUAGGGAAUCUUCCGCAAUGGGCGAAAGCCUGACGGAGCAACGCCGCGUGAGUGAUGAAGGUCUUCGGAUCGUAAAACUCUGUUAUUAGGGAAGAACAAAUGUGUAAGUAACUAUGCACGUCUUGACGGUACCUAAUCAGAAAGCCACGGCUAACUACGUG